AUUGAACGCUGGCGGCAUGCUUUACACAUGCAAGUCGAGCGGUAACAGGCCGCAAGGUGCUGACGAGUGGCGAACGGGUGAGUAAUGCAUCGGAACGUGCCCAGUCGUGGGGGAUAACUACUCGAAAGAGUAGCUAAUACCGCAUACGAUCUAUGGAUGAAAGCGGGGGACCGUAAGGCCUCGCGCGAUUGGAGCGGCCGAUGUCAGAUUAGGUAGUUGGUGGGGUAAAGGCUCACCAAGCCAACGAUCUGUAGCUGGUCUGAGAGGACAACCAGCCACACUGGGACUGAGACACGGCCCAGACUCCUACGGGAGGCAGCAGUGGGGAAUUUUGGACAAUGGGCGCAAGCCUGAUCCAGCAAUGCCGCGUGCAGGAAGAAGGCCUUCGGGUUGUAAACUGCUUUUGUACGGAACGAAACGGCUCUGGUUAAUACCCGGGGCUAAUGACGGUACCGUAAGAAUAAGCACCGGCUAACUACGUG
rnacentral:rRNA from 1 species